rnacentral:rRNA from 1 species
CGUAACGCGUAUGCAAUCUACCUUUCACAGAGGGAUAGCCCAGAGAAAUUUGGAUUAAUACCUCAUAGUAUGCAGAGUUGGCAUCAACACUGCAUUAAAGUCACAACGGUGAAAGAUGAGCAUGCGUCCCAUUAGCUAGUUGGUAAGGUAACGGCUUACCAAGGCUACGAUGGGUAGGGGUCCUGAGAGGGAGAUCCCCCACACUGGUACUGAGACACGGACCAGACUCCUACGGGAGGCAGCAGUGAGGAAUAUUGGUCAAUGGGCGCAAGCCUGAACCAGCCAUGCCGCGUGCAGGAUGACGGUCCUAUGGAUUGUAAACUGCUUUUGUACAGGAAGAAACAGUUCUACGUGUAGAACCUUGACGGUACUGUAAGAAUAAGGAUCGGCUAACUCCGUGCCAGCAGCCGCGGUAAUACGGAGGAUCCAAGCGUUAUCCGGAAUCAUUGGGUUUAAAGGGUCCGUAGGCGGUUUAGUAAGUCAGUGGUGAAAGCCCAUCGCUCAACGGUGGAACGGCCAUUGAUACUGCUAGACUUGAAUUAUUAGGAAGUAACUAGAAUAUGUAGUGUAGCGGUGAAAUGCUUAGAGAUUACAUGGAAUACCAAUUGCGAAGGCAGGUUACUACUAAUGGAUUGACGCUGAUGGACGAAAGCGUGGGUAGCGAACAGGAUUAGAUACCCUGGUAGUCCACGCCGUAAACGAUGGAUACUAGCUGUUGGGAGCGAUCUCAGUGGCUAAGCGAAAGUGAUAAGUAUCCCACCUGGGGAGUACGUUUCGCAGAAUGAACUCAAAGGAAUGACGGGG